GAUGAACGCUGGCGGCGUGCCUAAUACAUGCAAGUCGAGCGAACAGAUGAGGAGCUUGCUCCUCUGACGUUAGCGGCGGACGGGUGAGUAACACGUGGAUAACCUACCUAUAAGACUGGGAUAACUUCGGGAAACCGGAGCUAAUACCGGAUAAUAUAUUGAACCGCAUGGUUCAAUAGUGAAAGACGGUUUUGCUGUCACUUAUAGAUGGAUCCGCGCCGCAUUAGCUAGUUGGUAAGGUAACGGCUUACCAAGGCAACGAUGCGUAGCCGACCUGAGAGGGUGAUCGGACACACUGGAACUGAGACACGGUCCAGACUCCUACGGGAGGCAGCAGUAGGGAAUCUUCCGCAAUGGGCGAAAGCCUGCCGGAGCAACGCCGCGUUAGUGAUGAAGGUCUUCGGAUCGUAAAACUCUGUUAUUAGGGAAGAACAAAUGUGUAAGUAACUAUGCACGUCUUGACGGUACCUAAUCAGAAAGCCACUGCUAACUACGUG
rnacentral:rRNA from 1 species